CCAUGGGUUAGCCUGUGGCCACGCCUGUCCGAGGGUCGGCUUAUAAACUAUCACGACGCCCAAAUAGUCGUGGCUUGGGUUUUGCCAGCUGGCGUGAUUUCCUCUGUGAGUAAUCAUAUGAGGUGCCAGAUCUAUGGCGUUUCCCUAAUGUAUCCGGAUGCAUCCUUGUCUGGCUGAGGGCCAUGGUGAGGUGCAGUGACGGAGUCGUGGUCUAAUGUGGCUAUGCCCCGUUUUCAGCGUGUUUGGCCAUUUAGUCGGCAUGCUUAUGACUACGGGUGGAGCUAUGAUCGGGUUGGUACUCGGUUAUCAGUGAGUUUGGCGAUUCUAGUCGGCCCACUUAUGAUCUCCGAGAUAAUUCCAUACCAUGCACGUUUCGUUACUGUUGCUUCAUUGUUGGUUUGAUGCUGGCUUGGGCCAUGUGUCUGACGAAUACAAAAACACAGACUGCCUUGUGCGGACUGUUUCCUGACCUCGGUUCAGACGUGAUUACCCGCUGAACUUAAGCAUAUCACUAAGCGGAGGAAAAGAA
rnacentral:rRNA from 1 species